GUCCGCGCGGUAAACGAUGGAUGCCCGCUGUGGCGCGCCUGGCGUGCCGCGGCUAAGCGAAAGCAUUAAGCAUCCCACCUGGGGAGUACGCCGGCAACGGUGAAACUCAAAGGAAUUGACGGGGCCCGCACAAGCGGAGGAACAUGUGGUUUAAUUCGAUGAUACGCGAGGAACCUUACCCGGGCUUGAACUGCAGGAGAACGAUUCAGAGAUGAUGAGGUCCUUGGGACUCCUGUGGAGGUGCUGCAUGGUUGUCGU
rnacentral:rRNA from 1 species